GAUGAACGCUAGCGGCAGGCUUAACACAUGCAAGUCGAGGGGUAGAAGUUACUUGUAACUUUGAGACCGGCGCACGGGUGCGUAACGCGUAUGCAACCUACCUUUUACAGGGGGAUAGCCCAGAGAAAUUUGGAUUAAUACCCCAUGGUAUAAUAGAAUGGCAUCAUUUUAUUAUUAAAGUUCCAACGGUAAAAGAUGGGCAUGCGUCCUAUUAGACUAGAUGGUAAGGUAACGGCUUACCAUGGCUACGAUAGGUAGGGGUCCUGAGGGGGAGAUCCCCCACACUGAUAGUGAGACACGGAACAGACUCCUACGGGAGGCAGCAGUGAGGAAUAUUGGACAAUGGGCGCAAGCCUGAUCCAGCCAUGCCGCGUGCAGGAAGACGCAUCUAUGGUGUGUAAACUGCUUUUGUACGGGAAGAAACACCCCUUCGUGAAGGGACUUGACGGUACCGUAAGAAUAAGGAUCGGCUAACUCCGUGCCAGCCGCCGCAGUAACAC
rnacentral:rRNA from 1 species